rnacentral:hammerhead_ribozyme from 1 species
AUCCAGCUGAUGAGUCCCAAAUAGGACGAGACUGCCAGUCACCAUAU